rnacentral:rRNA from 1 species
GACAGAGGAGCCAAGCGUUGUCCGGAUUGACUGGGCGUAAAGCGCACGCAGGCGGCUGUGCACGUGGGUGUGAAAGCUGGCGGCUUAACUGCCAGACGCCACCUCAUACGGCACGGCUCGAGCCCGUGAGAGGUCCACGGAAUUGCCGGUGUAGUGGUGAAAUGCGUAGAGAUCGGCAGGAACACCCAGGGGAACCACGUGGACUGGCACGGUGCUGACGCUCAGGUGCGAAAGCGUGGGGAGCGAACCGG